GGGAAAACACCAUCUCAACACUAACUCUUCAAUUGAUAGAAACGACUAAUAAACAAAAACAUCUUUCUAUCAAAUACAAGUAACAGAAUCUUUUCCUGUGAACUUAUGGAGUGAAAAAGGAAAAUUGCAUUUAUAGUAGCAUAUUCAGCAGAGGUAGAGUCACUGAAAUUGCGAGAAAUAAUUAUUUUGAAGGGCUUGCUUAUUCAGUCGAAUUUUUUGAGGAAUCAUUUUAUUACAAAGUACAGAGCAUUUUGAACAACUAUCCUUCCAUGUCUCUAAAUACGUUUAAUAAGAAAUGACCUGGGUGGCAGCAGCUUACAAGUGGUACAAGCAGAAAGAAAAUAACAUUUACAGCAUCAAACUGCGAAAUUUUGAAAAAAAGUAUGUCAAUUAUAUGCUAAUCAAGAAGAAAUCAGCACUAAAGAAAGAAAAUUUCACAAGGUUUACCAUGAUUCCUAAUCACACAGCUUGUGAUCAGUAAAGAUCAGUUGAUAUUCAGGGCAAGAAUUGGUGGAUUGCGUGCUGUCUGAAUGAAUGUACCACCAUAAAAGAAAUUGUGAACACUUUUGUUCAAGCAUCUUUGUCAUCGCACUUGAUUAGCAGUAAAUAUGAAAUUCUCUCAAACCCUGCCUGAUCCCCCACCCCCCUCAUUUUUUUUUCCUCGCCCCCACAGAAACAACCAAGAAUAAUUGUCACCCUUAAUGUGCUUCUGCUCAUAUACGAAAAAUGGACAAAGAAAAUUACAGGUGGGAUUUUCCAUCAUCCCUAUGUCUGUAUAUCUAAGGCUUGCCUCUACCCUAACUAUUUUUUUGACUGUUUAUUAUUAAUUUUCUCCUUUUGAUUUGUUGAUGUUGACUCAUCAUAUGCAAAAGGUAACACAACUACAGGGGCAGCAGGCACUGUGUUCCAGCGAUCCUUCAGAAAGGUUAUGAACCUCUUAACCAUUUCCUUCCGGAACUCAAGCUCCCGAGUGAAGAGAUCAAAAAGAAGAAAGGCAGCAACAUACUUGAAAGGGACAAUGAGAAGAACAGUUGCGGACGCUAAAAACACCAGUGCAACCUCAGUUGUUAUCUAACAAAAGGUUCAAAUUUUAAAAUCAGAUUGUCACCACAGUAUAUCAAAGACUGGAAAGUAAACUAAUCAAAUUUCAAAAGGCAGCAACAAAAAAAAGUUCUCCAAAUAGCCCUACAACAACAACCUAAGCCUUAAUCCCAAACCAAAUUAAAACAAUAUUAGAACCUUAAUAGAAUACCCGUUCCUGAUCUCAAGGAGUCAGAAAAUACUCGUAGAAUAUAUGUUAAUCCCAUGAUAUAUCAACAAGCCUUCUAUUCUAUCUAUUUUCAUUCGCCCCUGAGCUCUUAAGCUGAAAAAUGAUAUUGCAGGUAUCAAUGAAUAUCCAAAGUUGUUUUGUGGAAAGGGGGCAUUAUAUUGCACAAAGCACAUUUAUCCUUCUCAGUAUUCAACUAAAGAACACAAAUUAUAAGUUCUUAAGUCAUGAAAGCAAAAUACUAAAUGGUUCUGAUACAGAAUCAAAUAGAGAACAACAAGCAAUAGAAUUUGCAUAUUUAUAUUUCAAUAAUUUUUCUCAACAUGACAAGAUACCUGAGGAUGACCUGAAAGAAUAAUUGUACGAAUUUUUAGAAGUGUGACAUUCAGAUUCUGGAGAUAAUUUUCCACAUCACACAUGGCAUCUUUUACUGCUAUAAUCUUUUGAAUGGUAUUUGAAGGUGGUUGAUCACGAAUGGUAACUUUCCCAAAUGAUCUGCCCAAGCGACCUUGCUCCUUAAGCCCCUUCAGUGUUAGCAUCCCAGCUGCCAAAACCAUUAACAUCAUCGGAAAUACAUAUGGCAGCAAAUUUCUGAAAAUAACUGAAUAUGCAAAUGCAAGAAAAGAGAUGGUCAGAUGUGGCUCCUCCCAGCGUCUCAGUUUUCCAAAAAUAUUGGCAGCCAUAGUCAGGGGAAGUAUCAGUUCCUUGAAGAGAUCGAUGUUACUUGGUAUCCCUUGAAGCAUUGCAGCAUCAAUUGUCGCUUGAGUUUUUUCAACCACCUGGCAUUUUUCUUUGCAUGUUAUUGCUGCCCUCUCUACAAGAGUCAUAUCAGCCACAACAAGAUCUUUACUUAAUACAACACCUUGCUUUGUUGAAGAGUUCUUCCAGAAAUUAAUGGAAGCAGUGGAAAUCCAAGAUGGAGACCUCAUCCACUUCUGUAAGUAAACACUUCCAUCUAUGUCAAAUACAUGAUUACUGAUUUCCAAUAACUCAUCAGAAGGCUUUGCUCCUUGUGCUGCUUGAUACUCUGCCAUGGUAGCUUUUUUAACUAAAGGUCCACCCCAGUAAUUUACAGCUAGAGUUUGGUAAACAAUGUCUCCAUAGGGUGCCUUCUGCAAAAAUGAGAACUGAACAAGUUUGAUGGGAUCAUCCAGCAACUUCCGCAUAAAUUGAAGGGCCUGAAGUCUAGCAAUGCUAUUAAUAGCACUGGUGAUAGCCCUUUCCUUCCCUUUUUGGGCACCAUACACUUGAAAUAUUGACUGAUCACUGUCUUUGGGUCCAAACUCACAGAUGAACUUGUGCAAGGAAAUAACUUCAUUCAUAAAUGCAUGCCAAACAUCUCUUCUUGAGUCACCUCCCAAGUCAACAAAUUCUAGCACCCAUGUCUCCGAGUUGGGACCAGAUGAAAUAGAGACUGCAGAAUCAAAAAGCACAUAACCCAAAGGUCCAACCUUUGUCUUCUCCACCUGUAUUCCUUUUCUAGUAAGAUCAAACCUUAUAGGAUCUUUCUGCCCAGCCAAACCAACAGCCUCAAAAUAAAGUGCUUUAUCAGUUAAAAUAACUUUUCCUGGCCACGCCAUGUUAUUCUCCCAUUUUAGAACAGGACGUUUCCUGCUGGAACCAAUGCACAAAAUUCUCUCCUCUGAAAGCUUAGGACAUUCACGAAUCUGGUAUGAUUUCCGUCCUUCAUGAACUUUGAGAAGUUCAUCAAUAUAAGUUAACCACAAGCCCAAAGAGAUGCCUUGUUCAUCCCCAGCAAGGGCCCUGAAAAGAUUAUGUGCUGUAGAGUGAUCAGCCACACCUGAAAUAGCAGGAGCAAUGCGUACGAAUGCCUCUUCUCCUACAAGUUUACCCUGAAGAGAAGCCUUUUCAGAACCAUCUUGUUUGUGGUAAGGAUUCUCCCAUGCAAGCAUUGUUAUGAAAAUUAGUUGCUGGAAUGCUGGUUCCUUGAGGCAGGGAUGGAUAGCAGAGCUAUCCCUUGACAAGAAUCUAAAGCAGCAAUACUCCACCAAAUUACGGGCAUCAUUAUACAUAGAUUCAGAAACAAGUGCUUUAAAUAUCUUCUGCAUUUUAUAGCCAGUCAAUCCAUUCAUCCUGCUAAAUUGCUCUAUGGAUACUAUAGCAGCUAAUGAGAGAGUUCCAUUCGGUGUGCUACUAUCAAUUGUCUGUUCUGUAAUAAAUAUUUCCUCCAGCUCUGCUACAUUGAGCACCUUUCCAGGAUCAGGCUUUCCAAUGUGACCAGAUUUUACCAGCGGCAAAGUCACCUCAAUCAAAAGAUUUUGGGUCUUAGAUAGCCAUGAAUUGACUCUUUUUUGGACUGCCUUAGCAUCUAUGUCUUUAAUCUUCCAUCUGUCCCCAAGAGACUGACCCACGAGCUUAAACCUCAACCUGCGCUCGGGGGAAUUGAAUUGACAGCAACCAAACUUGCUGAAGUCACUUUUAAACAAAAUCAAAGAACUGGGUGCAACUGGUACUGAUGCUUUCAAAUGGGUAACUGGGAAUUUUGAAUGCAUCCUUUUUGGGAUAUUCAGGAUUCAAGAUUCAAGCUUUUGAGUUCAUAACUCCAAGAAAGCUUAAUGCUUCAAAGAAAAUAAAAUAAAAAAGAAAGAACGAUUAGGAUUAUUAGAGUAGCGACAAGCGAGGCAAGAGAAAG
rnacentral:misc_RNA from 1 species